UACAGAGGGGGGCAAGCGUUUGUUCGGAAUUACUGGGCGUAAAGGGUGCGUAGGCGGCCUUCUAAGUCGAACGUGAAAUCCCCCGGGCUCAACCCGGGAACUGCGUCCGAUACUGGAAGGCUUGAAUCCGGGAGAGGGAUGCGGAAUUCCAGGUGUAGCGGUGAAAUGCGCAGAUAUCAGGAGGAACACCGAUGGCGAAAGGCAGAUCUCUGGGCCGUAACUGACGCUGAGGAGCGAAAAGCGUGGGGGAGCGAAACAGG
rnacentral:rRNA from 1 species